rnacentral:rRNA from 1 species
GUUUGACCUCAAAUCAGGCAAGACUACCCGCUGAACUUAAGCAUAUCAAUAAGCGGAGGAAAAGAAACCAACCGGGAUUGCCCUAGUAACGGCGAGCGAAGCGGCAAAAGUCCAAAUUUGAAAUCUGGCGUCCUACGGGCGUCCGAGUUGUAAUUUGAAGAUGGUAACUUUGGGUUUGGCUCUUGCAUAAGUUCCUUGGAACAGGACGUCAUAGAGGGUGAGAAUCCCGUUCAUGGUAAGAUGCCCAUUCCUUUGUAAAGUGCCUUC